GGAUGUGAGGGAGAUCUGGCUGUGACAUGUCACCCCAUUGAUUGCCAGGGUUGAUUUGGCUGAUCUGGCUGGCUAGGCAGGUAUCCCCUUCCUCCCUCACCACUCCAUGUGCGUUCCUCCCGAAGCUGCAUGCUCCGUCAAAGAGGACAACCAUCCCUGAUAGAUGAGGACUGGUCUUCGGUCAAGAGUAUAUGAGUAGCAUGCUCCCCUGCUAGAAUCUCCAAAUAAGCUCUCAAGUAUUGUUUCUUGGAUACAUUUGUGUGCUCUGUUGUUUGUUGAAUUGUAAUAUCGUCCUGAAGGUGAGAUCCCUUA
ensembl:misc_RNA 7SK 7SK RNA